AAGAGCUGACACUCAUGGUCUGGCUCUGUGUGGAAGACUAGUGAUUUUGUUGUUCUGACUUAUAAAAGUGACAACAAAUCAUAGCCUGCCAUACAGCACGGACCACAGCCACCCACCGACAGG
rnacentral:pre_miRNA from 15 species